CGAAAGUGCCUGGCUCCGCUUAACAAACCAGAUUUAAACCGACCCUGGAGUGACCGUUGGCACAGCAGGCGUAACCUACCUGUAGGGUUUAGCUCCUUCUACACUGCUUCAAAACGGCUUCCGAUCAGGAGCUUCUAUGAAAGCAACUACGUCUUGCAAAUGAAGCAGAAUCUCUGGCUUGGAGGGAACCUUGAUGAUGACGAAGAUGCCGCACGGACUGGCAAUAUCAAUGUUGAGAUAAACAAUAGAAUUGAAGAUAUGUCUGGUAAAGCAGCGCAACUGCAGCUGGAAUACAUGCCGGCAUGGGCGCUCCGGAGGAGGAGCAGCGAUAGUGCAACGAUUACUGAUUAGUAUUGUACGAGAGUGCCGUCAUACGGCCUGUCUCUCACAUAGUGUUCCUUAAAACUUCCGCAUUUCUCCGGUACCCUAGCAUCUACACUAGGGUUAGGCACUACUGGUAACGUGCGACCAUUGCCCCCGGGAGAUCCCGGGAUUGAGACCUGUCAGGGUCGAAAAUCCUUCCGAUGGUGAAAGGUAUUGCGCCCCUAGUUGGUGGACGGUGGUGACCUGGGAUAAACUUAAUCUACGAGCAGACCAGGGAUGGAUUUGGGCCGCUGUCGACCCGGAAGAUUCCGUUGGAUGCUGGUGGUGGGUGCGGGACCUGAGCGAUCCACCGAGUAAUGGACUAGGGUGACUAGAUGAGGGUGCCCCGAAAUACAGGGGAAGGCAGGGCUUCGCAGGGUAGCUGCCACGGGUGAUGAUAUAUCCCCCUGUUUCACACAUCUGCACCAGGCUGCGGUCUGCAUCGUUAUUAAUGGCAGCAAUCACACCCUCCGCACGUGAUGAGUGUGUUCCAAAGUGUGGUGAUAGCGAUGCCCCACAAAGAGCCUCUGCAAGUGGCCCAGGAACGUGCGGUAUGGCAGGGUGGGACGGGCAGAGGGUUGCAGAGAUGGGGGAUUGGGGGCAGGUACUGGUCAGGCGGGAUGGGGAAUAGGGUUGACGACGUCAGGAUGGGAUGUGGGGCCCAAGGCGAGGAUUAGGGAUUAGGCGUGCUACACUACUUUGGGGAUGGGGAUUGCUGUCGGGGGUGAGGAUGGGGAUGGGAUCCCUGUCUGAGGGAUGGGGAUUGCAACCUUGACCAUGGAGGGGAUUGGGAGCCCUGGCCAGGGAUGGGGAUGGGACCCUGGUCGACAGGAUGGGGAUUGCAGGCUUUCGCAAGUUUAGGAUGAGCUUGUUGAUGCGAAGGGUUGCCGUGUCGCCCUGUGGCCUGUUUGGGUAACUCGUCAGACUAUCGUGAGUGGCAGCUGAGACCGGUCUGAGGUCGCAUGUUAGACUUGGAGUGACAGCUUUGGACCUGUCUCGGGAGGCCCGUCGAUAUGGCUGUUAGGUUCUAGCGUACUGGUAACUCUCGUCCUUUGGGAUAGGCUUUCCCAGCCUUUAUAAGUCUCUACUGUUUAUCGGUAACAGUACCUCAGAUUCACACGUUUACGCCUAGGCAAAGGGGCUUUCGGUGGUAGGUCGCGGAUCUCCCGAACACGUGUAACGGCUAAUGUAUCCUUAGUCGUGUCUGCUAGGUCCCUGUGAGAUAGCGUCUCACCAACAGGUUAUGAGCCCCGGGUAACGGUUCCCGGCGGUUAAUAUCUGUAGUUGCUUUUAGCUUGAGCAGGGAGGCUCGCUAGGCAACCGACAUGGGAAAAGGGUGUAAGACCGUCCUCUUAGCGGACGGGUCUAACUACUCACAGUGGCUAGGAGACUUCGGUGACUUCCUUGCUACAUCCAAGCUGCGGAGCUAUAUGACCAACCCGUCGCCACCGGGACGCAAUGCGCAAGACGCUCUGGAGGAAGAUGCCCAGGCGCUUGGCUACCUGCGUCUUUCCUGCGAACUGCCAGUAAAGCAGUUGCUCAGGAACUGUCAGUCGACUCUCGCCGCCAUGCAGCUCUUACAGCUGCAGUUCCGUUCUGCCUCUCAGGCCCGGCUUAGCCUGCUAGAGCCGCAGAAGCAACUGCGCAUGGGUGACGACGAGACGACCGCUGACUUCAUUCAGCGGGCGGAGCAGCUCCGCAGCGACAUUAUCUCGGCGGGCGGCCAGUGGGACGAGGCUGCUAUGCGACAUGCUAUUCUCCACGGUCUGCCUCCACAAUACGCUAUCACAGUCGAGUUCGCAAUGUAUUUGCCUAACCUGACCACCCCGCAGCUCGUGUUCAUGCUGCGGGAGAAGGAGAACAAUUUGAAGGCUCAAGCAGUCAAGUCCGGCCUGGUUGGAGCUGUCGGCCCUGGUCGCACCGCCCGUGGAGUCCGCGGUGCUGCCGGCGCCUCGGGCGCCGCGGGGGCCAACGACACCUGCCGCUACUGUGGACAGCUUGGUCACUAUGUCCGUGAGUGCCCCGUCAAGCAGGCUGACGUGUCCGUAGGCCUCUACCGCAGCAAUGCGUUUGAGCAGCCACGCAGCAGUGGAGCCGGCAGCAGUGGCAGCGGCAACCGCCAUCGUGAUGGAGGCGGCGGAGGCACCAGCGGCGGCAAUAACAGCGGGGGCGACAGGACGCGCGAACGCGGCCGUGUUAGACGCGGCAACGGCCGCCGCAGUGGCAGCGACACUGCUGGCGGAAGCAGUGGCGGCGGCGGCGGCGGUGUAAGCUCACGCCAGAACCGUGCCACGGUGCUGGUCGUCGGUGGCAGCGGCAACAGUUCAGCAGUAGUCCUAGACUCUGGUUCACCUUAUCAUCUUACAGGUGACCGCUCACUGUUGCACAGUUACGUUCCCUCCGGCUCGCCCAAGCAGAUUAAGUGGGGAAAUAACCAGCUGGCCGACGUCAUGGGGACAGGGCAGCUACUCCUACGGACGCGCGGUGGAGAAACCGUCUUGCUAAGCAACGUACUCCAUGUCCCCAGCUCGGGACUGACGCUCAUGUCUGUCGACCUUCUCGUGACGCGCGGCUGCUCAGUCACGUUCGGCACGGACAAGGCGGGCCGCCGGUUCUCGCGAGUAGGUCUGCCGCACGGCGGUUCGUCUAUCACCGCGUGGAGUGAGAGUGGGCAUUACGUCAUGGACGUGGACCUGCUGGCGCCGACCAAACGCGCCGUCAGUGCGCUCGGUGCUGCGGAAGACAGAGCCGGCGGAGGUAGCGGCGCUGGCGGAAGCGCCGCCGGCGCCAGCAGCAGUGACGACGGCGGAGAUCAGCCAAACACCGGCGCCAGCAGCAGUGACACCGGCGGAGACCAGCCGAACGGCGCCGGCAGCAGUGACACCGGCGGAGACCAGUCGAACGGCGCCAGCAACGGCCAAAGGCAGCUGGGUGCCCUUGAGUACUCAGCCGCCGAACUCGCAGCAGCGCAGCGCAUGCACCGCCAGUUCGGCCACCUUGGUUACCGGGCGUUGGAGCAGCUUAUCACCAAGAAGCUGGUACAUGGACCACGGGUCACUCCCGCGGCGCUGCGUCAGGCGGCAAAGGGUGUCUGCGAAGCCUGUGUCACAGCGAAGACUACAGCUACAGCCCACGUUAGCCGCGGUAACCGGCCUCAGCGUGUCCUGGAGGUCGUACACUCUGACCUGUGCGGGCCUAUGCCGACCACGGGCCGAGGAGAGGCUCGCUAUGUGCUAACGCUGCUGGACGGUGCCUCCGGUCUGUCUGCCGUUCGCACACUGGUUAGCAAGAACCAAGUGGGCGAAGCGCUGCAGGACAUGGUGACGCAGCUGGAGGCUCGCAUCCCGAACGGUGCACGGGUCCGCACCCUUCAUAGUGAUAACGGUGGCGAGUAUGUCGCCGAGCAGCUGGCACAGUGGCUACGCCAGCGCGGCACUGCGCACACCCACUCGGCGCCGUACACUCCGGAGCAGAACGGCGCAGCGGAGCGGCUCAAUCGCACGCUCCUCGACCGUGUGCGGGCUAUGCUGUACGAUGCCGCGCUCCCGGACAGCUUUUGGUCGGAAGCUGUGCUAUACACCAACCUCCUGCGCAAUGUUUCCCCCUCUCAGGGCCGGGAGGCCACACCGUGGGCAACUUAUCAUGGCGUCACCCCCGACGUCAGCCACCUGCACACCUUCGGCUGCCUGGCAUACGUCCGCAUCCCAAUCAGCCAGCAGGAUAAGCUCGGUCCCCGCGCAAAGGCGGGAACCUACCUUGGACCGGAGCGCGGCACGGCCGCCCACCGCGUCCUCGUCGACGGUAAGGUGACUGUUAGCAGCGACGUCACCUUCGACGACGACCUCCGCGGCCUGGCGUCUCAACGGGCGGGCACCCCCUUCGGCGCUAGCCCCGCCCGUCCUGGCAGCGGCGACCCCGUCGGCGGCUCUACACAGCCCGCCACACCGCCGCCUCCAGUGGAUGCACCGCCUCCAGUGGACCCAGCACCCCCCCUCCGCCCCAACACACGCAGCCAACGGCAACCUCUUCACCCGCCGCUGGCCACAGUCUGCCCAGCCAACAACAGCAGCGGCGGCGGCGGAGAUUUGGGUAGUCCACCGCUGCUUAACAAAGCGUCGGGAAGCGAUUAUGCUGAGGCAGGCGACGGCAAUGCGGGCGGCGGAGGCAACAGCGCGGUGCAGGAGCCGCGCAGUUAUGAGGAAGCGGUGGCGAGUCCACAAGCGGACAAGUGGAGAACUUCGAUGGAUGACGAGAUUCUGUCGCAGCUCUCCAAUAAGACCUGGGAGUUGGGCACGCCGCCACCCGGUGCACGCAUCCUGGACUGCCGCUGGGUCUACAAAAUCAAACAGGAGCCAGGAGGUGAGGUACGCUACAAGUCGCGUUUGGUGGUGAAAGGUUUUGAACAGCGAGCGGGUAUAGACUAUGGAGAGCUGUUUGCGCCCACUACGCGUGCAGCCUCCCUGCGGGCACUUCUAGCUGUGGCAGCAGCCAGAGGUAUGACGGUCCACCAGAUGGACGUCAAAACGGCCUUCUUGAACGGUGACCUGACAGAGGAGCUGUGGAUGCGACAGCCCCCAGGCUAUAGCAACGGCGACCCGACACAGGCGUGCCGGCUGUUAAAGUCUGUUUACGGCCUCAAGCAAGCCCCACGUUGCUGGUACGAGAAGCUGGCGGCGGAGCUGGGCAAGCUAGGCUAUGAACCGUCUACGUCCGACCCCGCGCUAUUCGUCAAGCGGGGGUCCGAUGGCUCAAUCGAUGUGCUCGUGCACGUUGAUGACAUGCUGGUGGCGGCGGACAACCCGCAGUUGGUUGCGGCCGCCAAGGCGGCCAUAGCUGGUUGCUUCGCUGUACGAGACCUUGGAGAGGCGCGCUACUACCUCGGCAUGGAGAUCGUCCAGGACCGCCGCAACCGCAGCAUCAUGCUCACACAGCAGCGUUACGUGGAGCAGCUGCUUCAGCGCCACAGCCUGGAGAACGCCAAGCCACGUGCCACCCCGCUACCCCAGAAUACGCGGGUUCUGCCAGCCAGUGACACCCAGCCGAUACUGACGGACAGCAGUGGCUACCGCGCGCUGGUGGGAGAACUAAACUACCUCGCUACCAGCACACGCCCAGACAUCGCACACGCUCUGAGCAUGCUGGCACGGCACAUGUCCGCCCCCACCAAAGCGCACAUGGGGCUCGCUCUGGGUGUGCUGCGUUACGUCUCUGGCACUCGGGCGCUUGGUCUGCGUUACUGCGGCGACGCCAGCCACUUCUGUGGGUACAGCGACGCAGACUGGGCCGGCGACCCAGCCACCCGCAGGUCCACCACGGGCUACGCUUUUCUGCUCGGUAGCGCGGCGGUCAGCUGGAGCAGUCAGUUGCAGCGCACCGUGGCGGCCUCGUCCGUGGAAGCCGAAUACCAGGCCGCAGCAGCAGCUGUGCGCGAGGCGUUGUGGCUACGCAAGCUGGCGAGCGAUCUGGACCUAUCCCCGGGUGCUGUCAACGUCCAGCUGGAUUCGCAAGGCGCGCUCAGCCUCGGCAACAACCCCAUCACGUCGGUGCGCUCCAAGCACAUCGACGUGCACCACCACAUCGUGCGCGAGAGGGUCGCGCGUGGUGAGGUGAAGCUCAGCUAUUGCACCACCGACGACAUGGUGGCUGACAUCCUAACCAAGGCACUGGGCGAUGUCAAGUUCGUGCGCUGCCGCACAGCGCUGGGCGUUACUUAGAUCGCCAGAGGAGGAGUGCUGAGGGCUUUGAGGGAUUGUUUUGAGCUAGGCUUUAGGGGGGUGCUGAGGGUGCGUGAGCAGGCGCCCGAAUGGGCAGGUUAAUGCCCGAAGGGGCGCCGUAGGCAGUGCGUAUGGUGCUGUACGGCACUGUUUUCUCUGUGUGUUUGUGCAGCAGCAUCAGACCGCAUAGCCAUCAGGCUGAAGGCUGGCAAGCUGCGUUUGUAUCUGCUGAGUGUUGAGCAGUCGGCCUGGACCGCGGACUUGUCGGCCGAUCUAGCUAGUCAGUACUAGCAAUUUGUAGUAAGGCCCCUAGUGCGACACGAGGGGGCGUGUUGAUGCGAAGGGUUGCCGUGUCGCCCUGUGGCCUGUUUGGGUAACUCGUCAGACUAUCGUGAGUGGCAGCUGAGACCGGUCUGAGGUCGCAUGUUAGACUUGGAGUGACAGCUUUGGACCUGUCUCGGGAGGCCCGUCGAUAUGGCUGUUAGGUUCUAGCGUACUGGUAACUCUCGUCCUUUGGGAUAGGCUUUCCCAGCCUUUAUAAGUCUCUACUGUUUAUCGGUAACAGUACCUCAGAUUCACACGUUUACGCCUAGGCAAAGGGGCUUUCGGUGGUAGGUCGCGGAUCUCCCGAACACGUGUAACGGCUAAUGUAUCCUUAGUCGUGUCUGCUAGGUCCCUGUGAGAUAGCGUCUCACCAACAGAGCUCGCUGCCAUAGGAUUGGGAACACAGUUGGAGGAUUAGAAUUGGGUGUUCUGCUGUAAAAUGAGGCUGCAGGUGCAGAACUGGGAAUACUGACAGGACUGCAAAACAGGCCAAGGAUGGAUGGUUUAGUUGUC
rnacentral:lncRNA from 1 species